rnacentral:rRNA from 1 species
UUGCAAGACGAGCGGACUAAUGGGAGCUUGCUCCCGUUAGUUAGCGGCGGACGGGUGAGUAACACGUGGGCAACCUACCUGUAAGACUGGGAUAACUUCGGGAAACCGGAGCUAAUACCGGAUGACAUAAAGGAACUCCUGUUCCUUUAUUGAAAGAUGGCUUUUAGCUAUCACUUACAGAUGGGCCCGCGGCGCAUUACCUAGUUGGUGAGGUAACGGCUCACCAAGGCGACAAUGCGUAGCCAACCUGAAAGGGUGAUCGGCCACACUGGGACUGAAACACGGCCCAAACUCCUACGGGAGGCAGCAGUAGGGAAUCUUCCGCAAUGGACAAAAGUCUGACGGACCAACGCCGCGUGAGCGAUGAAGGCCUUCCGGUCCUAAAGGUCUGUUGUUAGGGAAGAAUAAGUCCUAGUUGAAUAAGCUGGCACCUUGACGGUACCUAACCAGAAAGCCACGGCUAACUACGUGCCAGCAGCCGCGGUAAUACGUAGGUGGCAAGCGUUGUCCGGAAUUAUUGGGCGUAAAGCGCGCGCAGGCGGUUUCUUAAGUCUGAUGUGAAAGCCCCCGGCUCAACCGGGGAGGGUCAUUGGAAACUGGGAAACUUGAGUGCAGAAGAGGAAAGUGGAAUUCCAAGUGUAGCGGUGAAAUGCGUAGAGAUUUGGAGGACACCAGUGGGCGAAGGCGACUUUCUGGUCUUGUUUGCACG